GAUGAACGCUGGCGGCGUGCCUAAUACAUGCAAGUCGAGCGAACGGACGAGAAGCUUGCUUCUCUGAUGUUAGCGGCGGACGGGUGAGUAACACGUGGAUAACCUACCUAUAAGACUGGGAUAACUUCGGGAAACCGGAGCUAAUACCGGAUGAUAUUUUGAACCGCAUGGUUCAAAAGUGAAAGACGGUCUUGCUGUCACUUAUAGAUGGAUCCGCGCUGCAUUAGCUAGUUGGUAAGGUAACGGCUUACCAAGGCAACGAUGCAUAGCCGACCUGAGAGGGUGAUCGGCCACACGGGAACUGAGACACGGUCCAGACUCCUACGGGAGGCAGCAGUAGGGAAUCUUCCGCAAAGGGCGAAAGCAUGACGGAGCAACGCCGCGUGAGUGAUGAAGGUCUUCGGAUCGUAAAACUCUGUUAUUAGGGAAGAACAUAUGUGUAAGUAACUGUGCACAUCUUGACGGUACCUAAACAGAAAGCCACGGCUAACUACGUG
rnacentral:rRNA from 1 species